rnacentral:rRNA from 1 species
AGAGUUUGAUCCUGGCUCAGGACGAACGCUGGCGGCGUGCUUAACACAUGCAAGUCGAACGGUGAAGGGACCAGCUUGCUGGUUCUGGAUGAGUGGCGAACGGGUGAGUAACACGUGAGUAACCUGCCCCCUUCUUCUGGAUAACCGCAUGAAAGUGUGGCUAAUACGGGAUAUUCUGGGUCUGUCGCAUGGUGGGCCUGGGAAAGGUUUUUUCCGGUGGGGGAUGGGCUCGCGGCCUAUCAGCUUGUUGGUGGGGUGAUGGCCUACCAAGGCGGUGACGGGUAGCCGGCCUGAGAGGGUGGACGGUCACACUGGGACUGAGACACGGCCCAGACUCCUACGGGAGGCAGCAGUGGGGAAUAUUGCACAAUGGGCGCAAGCCUGAUGCAGCGACGCCGCGUGAGGGAUGGAGGCCUUCGGGUUGUAAACCUCUUUCGCCAGUGAAGCAGGCCUGCUCCUUGUGGGUGGGUUGACGGUAGCUGGAUAAGAAGCGCCGGCUAACUACGUGCCAGCAGCCGCGGUAAUACGUAGGGCGCGAGCGUUGUCCGGAAUUAUUGGGCGUAAAGAGCUCGUAGGCGGCUGGUCGCGUCUGUCGUGAAAUCCUCUGGCUUAACUGGGGGCUUGCGGUGGGUACGGGCCGGCUUGAGUGCGGUAGGGGAGACUGGAACUCCUGGUGUAGCGGUGGAAUGCGCAGAUAUCAGGAAGAACACCGGUGGCGAAGGCGGGUCUCUGGGCCGUUACUGACGCUGAGGAGCGAAAGCGUGGGGAGCGAACAGGAUUAGAUACCCUGGUAGUCCACGCCGUAAACGUUGGGCACUAGGUGUGGGGGGCCUUUUCCGGGUUUUCCGCGCCGUAGCUAACGCAUUAAGUGCCCCGCCUGGGGAGUACGGCCGCAAGGCUA